UGACAACCCUGUCACCUGCUCCCCCAGCAACCGCUUUGUGUUAUUUUGGUUCUGGCUGCAGCUUGAUUAAAUCAUCCUCAAGCGUGAAGUAUCACACGAGGAAGCGUAAAGAAAAGCAACCGACUGCACGGGCGUUUAAGGAAAUCAGUGCACGUGUAAGUGAAGGUUGACUGAACUAAUGGGCAGUGAAAGCCAUUACGGACUAAAGCAGCAGAUCCCAUCACGACCAAACUGUACCAGACCUGGAACGCCACCCCACUCCUUUCCUGUAACCGCCGGCUCGCCACGGGGAAACAACCCCCCCCCCCCGACGCAAAUGUAUCCUGAUGCAUCCCUUCACGGUGUCCCCGCUGUCCCCGCUGUCCCCUGCUCCCUCCGUCCUCCCUCUGGGGACAAUGAGGCUUUAUCAGCUUGUUGUUUUCAUACUGAGUAUUUAUUUUGUUAUUCAUGCUUUUGUGCCCUGAUUCAGAGGUCUCCCAUGGGGCUUUACAGGGAAUGUUGAGUACAGUACAGUUGAUGUUGUUGCAAUUAUUAUUUCCACAAAAUAUGUUUAUACUAUGGAGAGAAGCUGGAUCUUUCAACCUUUGUCUUUAUAAUCACUUUUUGUUAACUUUUUUCAUUUAUCCGCUUGUGUACAAACACGUUUAUGUAAAUUCUCAAUGGCGGCACAGUUAAAGUGAGAUAAGAUUAUCCGUUAUUAGUGCCGCGCGGGGAAAUGCGCAGUAAGACAGCAGCAAAGGGAAUAGUGCAAUGAGACAUAAAUUAACCGUAAAACAAACAAAAACUGAAACAAGAUAUAAUUGGACUGAAUGGUUGAGUUCACUUUAUUGCACAAAUGGGGGAAGUUGAUGCUGCACAGUAGCACACAUGACAUUAGCAGAUGAAUAACCAUGUUUUUGGGGAAAUGGGUGAACGGAUUCAGGUUGAAAUCUCCAUCUGGCUCCCAUGUUUUCUCCAAAUUGUGAUUUCCGUUGUUUUCAGCCAGUUUAAACGACCUUAAUUUGAAACUGUGGAUUAUUGGACUGAUGAUCCGUAGUUCAGUGGCUUCCUGCAGAAGUCCAACAGUAAUGUUCCGCUUCCUUUAGACGAGGUGCAUAUUCAAGCUGUCAGCGGGACUUCUGCCCCUUUUUACUCUCGUAACAUAAUUAGCUUUUAUUUUUGUGAUGGGAGCUGUUGGAAUCAUAUGGGAAUGCCAUAAAAUAGAAAUAUUUCACUAUAAAAUAAAUACUGUGGCUUAUCAUUCAAAAAGACAGAAUCUAUUACGCAGCAACACAGGGUGAAUUUUAGAGUCCUUGGAAGGACGUACUGUAAAUAUUACAGGAUCAAAUGAUUGGUAUAUUAAAGCCCUAAUAAUCCAAAGUUUUGGGAUGAAAUCUACCAAACAUCCCGCCUGGAAUCGCUCACACCCGCCCGCUGGCAACGUAGCAUGUUGGCUCUAAACGGCAGUGGAGGAUACGUAAAAUCCUACUGCCUCCGGCUUCACACAGGAAAAUGCUCUCAGAAUCCCCAGCCGACUACAUAUUUCCUGCUUUAUUUUUUUAAAGAGUCUUAAAUGUAAAUGGUUCUUGACAAUGUGCCACUGAAACCAAAUGUUUUUUCUUUAGAAGAGGACCGUUAUAGACAGCAGGGGCCCAUUGAAGUAUUUAUAUUUAUGAUAACAUGGCAUUUUGUAUUUACUGUAGAAUUAGUGCACGUCAUCGUAGCCUUUAAUGUCUCCUUGUGUUUCCAACUAACCCGAGGAAACUACAGCGUUAACCAGAGUUCAACGGGCCGCUGACACGACCUCUGACCUGACCUCUGGAAGAAAAGCGACCUGAUGAAACGAUGGCUGCCAGGUCCUUCUCUUCCCCCCGGCCGUCUCCUAACGCACCCGUCGCCGUGUCCUCGGAUGUGUGCUCAGUGGAGGAGAAACUGCUUUAUGGACAAAGGCUUCCCGGCUGUCCGCACUUUGUGCGACGUGGUCACACAAAGUGUAAAGAGACG
ensembl:lncRNA